rnacentral:rRNA from 1 species
UGAGGGAAGAAGUUUAUUGACUGUACCUCAUGAAUAAGAGGCUCCUAAUCUCGUGCCAGCAGGAGCGGUAAUACGAGAGCCUCGAGCGUUAUCCGGAAUUAUUGGGCGUAAAGGGUGCGUAGGUUGUUCUGUUAGUCUUUUGUCAAAAACCCGGGCUUAACCUGGGGAUCGCGAAAGAAACGGCAGAGCUUGAAAGUGCGAGAGGCGUACGGAACUCAUGGUGUAGGGGUGAAAUCCGUUGAUAUCAU